UACGGAGGGUGCAAGCGUUAUCCGGAUUCACUGGGUUUAAAGGGAGCGUAGGAGGGCAGGUAAGUCAGUGGUGAAAUCUUCGAGCUUAACUCGGAAACUGCCGUUGAUACUAUCUGUCUUGAAUAUCGUGGAGGUAAGCGGAAUAUGUCAUGUAGCGGUGAAAUGCUUAGAUAUGACAUAGAACACCCAUUGCGAAGGCAGCUUACUACACGAUCAUUGACACUGAGGCACGAAAGCGUGGGGAGCAAACAGG
rnacentral:rRNA from 1 species